rnacentral:ncRNA from 2 species
GCCUAUUCUCAGGGCAGGGUGCAAUUCCCUACCGGCGGUAUGUCCACCCUGUGGACGAGCCCGCGAGCGCCUGCCGCGUUUGGGCAGGGUCAAGCAGAUCCGGUGAGAAGCCGGAGCCGACGGUGAUAGUCCGGAUGGGAGAGAAUGAGG